GCGCGAGGGCCGCCGGAUGGGGGCGCUGCUGCCGAGAAGCUCGGGUUCUCGGGUGGGGAGUCGGGGGCGCGCUGGCAGCCGUAAGUACCCCCCGAGAUUUACAGUAACUCACGGCACCAGCACAGAGGCGGGAGUGGCGUAAGUUGAGGAUAGUGCCAGGAUCCUUAACCAGAUGUGGAGUCGGCAGGUAGUAGUGGAAACACCACGUGCCGGAGCCAAAGUGAUCUGCGCUUGAACCCUGGGUCUUCCUCCACUUACUCUGAAACUUGGGGCAAGUCGCUGUGAACUCAAAACAGAAGAACUCUCAUUGACUUAUCUUUCUGAAGUUAUCAUUCUGACUGACAUCUUCUUGAAGAAGGCAAUGAAGCUGGAUAAUCUCCCACCUACUUAAUGGUUCCUUCUCAGA